CGCGUAGGCGGCCUGAUAAGUCAGAUGUGAAAGUCCACGGCUCAACCGUGGAAGUGCAUUUGAAACUGUCAGGCUUGAGUAUCGGAGGGGAGUGUGGAAUUCCCGGUGUAGAGGUGAAAUUCGUAGAGAUCGGGAGGAACACCGGUGGCGAAGGCGACACUCUGGACGAAUACUGACGCUGAGGUGCGAAAGCGUGGGGAGCAAACA
rnacentral:rRNA from 1 species